UGCCAGACUCCUACGGGAGGCAGCAGUGAGGAAUAUUGGUCAAUGGGCGAGAGCCUGAACCAGCCAAGUCGCGUGAAGGAUGAAGGAUCUAUGGUUUGUAAACUUCUUUUAUAUGGGAAUAAAGUGAGGAACGUGUUCCUUUUUGUAUGUACCAUAUGAAUAAGCAUCGGCUAACUCCGUGCCAGCAGCCGCGGUAAUACGGAGGAUGCGAGCGUUAUCCGGAUUUAUUGGGUUUAAAGGGUGCGCAGGCGGAUUUUUAAGUCAGCGGUCAAAUCGUGGGGCUCAACCCCAUCCAGCCGUUGAAACUGGGGAUCUAGAGUGUGCGAGAGGUAUGCGGAAUGCGUGGUGUAGCGGUGAAAUGCAUAGAUAUCACGCAGAGCCCCGAUUGCGAAGGCAGCAUACCGGUGCACAACUGACGCUCAGGCACGAAAGCGUGGGUAUCGAACAGGAUUAGAUACCCUAGUA
rnacentral:rRNA from 1 species